rnacentral:rRNA from 1 species
CAUUCACGGAGAGUUUGAUCCUGGCUCAGGACGAACGCUGGCGGCGUGCUUAACACAUGCAAGUCGAACGGUGAAGCCCUUCGGGGUGGAUCAGUGGCGAACGGGUGAGUAACACGUGGGCAAUCUGCCCUGCACUCUGGGAGGCGCCUUGGACACGAGGUCUCAUACCGGGUCUUACCCUUGAGCGCAUGGUCU